CCUACGGGAGGCAGCAGUGAGGAAUAUUGGUCAAUGGGCGGAAGCCUGAACCAGCCAAGUAGCGUGCAGGAUGACGGCCCUACGGGUUGUAAACUGCUUUUAUACGGGAAUAACGCGCCUUACGCGUAGGGCUUUGCAUGUACCGUAUGAAUAAGGACCGGCUAAUUCCGUGCCAGCAGUCGCGGUAAUACGGAAGGUCCGGGCGUUAUCCGGAUUUAUUGGGUUUAAAGGGAGCGUAGGCGGCAUGUUAAGUCUGCUGUGAAAUGUCCGGGCUCAACCCUGGCAUUGCAGCGGAAACUGGCAGGCUUGAGUCUGCGAGAGGCAGGCGGAAUGCGUGGUGUAGCGGUGAAAUGCUUAGAUAUGACGAAGAACCCCGAUUGCGAAGGCAGCUUGCUGCAGCGGAACUGACGCUGAUGCUCGAAAGCGCGGGUAUCGAACAGGAUUAGAUACCCGUGUAGUC
rnacentral:rRNA from 1 species